rnacentral:rRNA from 1 species
GAAACUGGUGCUAAUACCGGAUACCCUUCAUUUCUGCCGGGUUAUGGAGGAAAGGUGGCCUCUUCAUGAAAGCUACCGUAUAGGGAUGAGCCUGCGUACCAUUAGCUAGUAGGUGGGGUAAUGGCCCACCUAGGCAACGAUGGUUAGCGGGUCUGAGAGGAUGAUCCGCCACACUGGAACUGGAACACGGACCAGACUCCUACGGGAGGCAGCAGUGAGGAAUAUUGCGCAAUGGGGGAAACCCUGACGCAGCGACGCCGCGUGAGUGAGGAAGGUUUUCGGAUCGUAAAGCUCUGUCAGAAGGGAAGAAGUGUUAUAUGGUUAAUACCCGUAUAAUUUGACGGUACCUUCAGAGGAAGCACCGGCUAACUCCGUGCCAGCAGCCGCGGUAAUACGGAGGGUGCGAGCGUUGUUCGGAAUUACUGGGCGUAAAGGGCGCGUAGGCGGCCUGCUAAGUCAGAUGUGAAAGUCCACGGCUCAACCGUGGAAGUGCAUUUGAAACUGUCAGGCUUGAGUAUCGGAGGGGAAAGUGGAAUUCCCGGUGUAGAGGUGAAAUUCGUANAGAUCGGGAGGAACGCCGGUGGCG